AGAGUUUGAUCCUGGCUCAGGAUGAACGCUAGCGACAGGCCUAACACAUGCAAGUCGAGGGGCAGCGGGAGCAAAGCUUGCUUUGCUUGCCGGCGACCGGCGCACGGGUGAGUAACGCGUAUGCAACCUGCCUGUAACAGGGGGAUAACCCGGAGAAAUCCGGCCUAACACCGCAUAACACAUGUAAGCCGCAUGGUUUUCAUGUCAAAUAUUCAUAGGUUACAGAUGGGCGAGGAAGGUCCCCCACAUUGGAACUGAGACACGGUCCAAACUCCUACGGGAGGCAGCAGUGAGGAAUAUUGGUCAAUGGACGGAAGUCUGAACCAGCCAUGUCGCGUGGAGGAGGAAGGUACUAUGUAUUGUAAACUCCUUUUGCCUGGGGGUAAAGUGGGUCACGCGUGGCCUAUUGCAAGUACCAGGCGAAUAAGCAUCGGCUAACUCCGUGCCAGCAGCCGCGGUAAUACGGAGGAUGCGAGCGUUAUCCGGAUUUAUUGGGUUUAAAGGGUGCGUAGGCGGGACGUCAAGUCAGCGGUGAAAUACUGUGGCUCAACCAUAGCAUUGCCGUUGAAACUGGCGACCUUGAGUGCGGCAGAGGUAGGCGGAAUGUGUGGUGUAGCGGUGAAAUGCUUAGAUAUCACACAGAACACCGAUUGCGAAGGCAGCUUACUGGAGCGCAACUGACGCUGAGGCACGAAAGCGUGGGUAUCGAACAGGAUUAGAUACCCUGGUAGUCCACGCUGUAAACGAUGAUGACUAGCUGUUGGCGAUACAAUGUCAGCGGCACAGCGAAAGCGUUAAGUCAUCCACCUGGGGAGUACGCCGGCAACGGUGAAACUCAAAGGAAUUGACGGGGGCCCGCACAAGCGGAGGAACAUGUGGUUUAAUUCGAUGAUACGCG
rnacentral:rRNA from 1 species